rnacentral:rRNA from 1 species
AACGAACGCUGGCGGCAGGCUUAACACAUGCAAGUCGAACGCGUGUAGCAAUACACGAGUGGCGCACGGGUGAGUAACGCGUGGAUAUCUGCCUUUUGGUUCGGAAUAACUCCGGGAAACUGGAGCUAAUACCGGAUGGUUCCUUCGGGAUAAAGAUUUAUCGCCAAAAGAUGAGUCCGCGUACGAUUAGCUAGUUGGUGAGGUAAUGGCUCACCAAGGCGACGAUCGUUCGCUGGUCUGAGAGGACGAUCAGCCACGCUGGGACUGAGACACGGCCCAGACUCCUACGGGAGGCAGCAGUGGGGAAUAUUGGACAAUGGGGGCAACCCUGAUCCAGCCAUGCCGCGUGAGUGAUGAAGGCCUUCGGGUUGUAAAGCUCUUUUGGCGGGGACGAUGAUGACGGUACCCGCAGAAUAAGCCCCGGCUAACUUCGUGCCAGCAGCCGCCGUAA